rnacentral:misc_RNA from 1 species
UUAACUAUUAUAUAGUACUCAGACAUCACUAAACAAACGAGUUUGGGUCCUCUGGCAGGCGCUGUCAGCGUGAGCCGACGCCCGAAGGCGGCCUGCCAAAGCAACAAAAGUAUGUAUACACGGUUUGGGAACAGAACCCAUUUCAAAAAACGGGGCAUUCUUUAAUGAUCCUUCCGCAGGUUCACCUACGGAAA